GGGGGGACGCAGUAGGAUAGGCGAAGCGUGCGAUUGGAUUGCACGUCUAAGCAGUAAGGCUGAGUAUUAGGCAAAUCCGGUACUCGUUAAGGCUGAGCUGUGAUGGGGAGAAGACAUUGUGUCUUCGAGUCGUUGAUUUCACACUGCCGAGAAAAGCCUCUAGAUAGAAAAUAGGUGCCCGUACCGCAAACCGACACAGGUAGUCAAGAUGAGAAUUCUAAGGUGAGCGAGCGAACUCUCGUUAAGGAACUCGGCAAAAUGACCCCGUAACUUCGGGAGAAGGGGUGCUCUUUAGGGUUAACGCCCAGAAGAGCCGCAGUGAAUAGGCCCAAGCGACUGUUUAUCAAAAACACAGGUCUCUGCUAAACCGUAAGGUGAUGUAUAGGGGCUGACGCCUGCCCGGUGCGGGAAGGUUAAGAGGAGUGGUUAGCUUCUGCGAAGCUACGAAUCGAAGCCCCAGUAAACGGCGGCCGUAACUAUAACGGUCCUAAGGUAGCGAAAUUCCUUGUCGGGUAAGUUCCGACCCGCACGAAAGGCGUAACGAUUUGGGCACUGUCUCAACGAGAGACUCGGUGAAAUCAUAGUACCUGUGAAGAUGCAGGUUACCC
rnacentral:rRNA from 1 species